GUUAAUGUAAGUGUGAGUUGACAGGAUUCCACGUGAUAUUCAAAUAGGUCAAGAUGGUGAAUAUCAAAACAAAGCUGUUAUGUUUAUUCCAUCUAGGUUAAAGUUUAAAAUUCACUUUCAAUUACCAACAAGUUUCACUUUGGUGAAUGACCCAGUAAAAAUUGCAUUAGCGAUGAGUCUUCGUCACCUCUUGUUCUUGUUUGCCAUUUUCAAUAGCUCAUUGUAGAACACUGGAGAAUCCAAAAAAAAAAAAUUUUUUUUAGAAACUUACAAUUAUGCCACAAAAAGGGAAAAAAAUCCUUCUAAACUCCAUAAUGGAAAUUUCAUCUAGA